UAACCGAGCCCUAAUCAAAUCGCUGCCUUCCUCCUUCUAAUCAAACCGCCCAUCACUCGAACAAUUUCCGAUUCGGGUGGUUGGUGUGUGGUUUCUCAUUGGACUCCUCCUGAGGCUUGAUUGAGUCGACGAAGUGAGACGAUGGAACUUAUGCCACGAAAAAAGUUCUCAUUCAGAAUAGCGAACAGUUGGAGUUGGUGAAGGAGGAGAUCCGAGUUUCAUCACUUUUCACUCAUCCUAAUCUUGCUUCCACUUCUUGAUCAUGUCAUUAUUUCUGUUAAGCUUUCUGUAUAGGUGAGAGAUGAGUUUCUAUGGAGAACUUGCGAAUAGGGCUGUGGAGACUGAUAUGCCGGUCAUGGUUCAGGUAUUGAGGCCAAAACUCCCACUGGGUUUUUGUUAAAGUUUUUGAAUUUAUUCUGUUAUGAGGUUCAGUUUUGGUGUGAGUUUUAAUAAGUUUGCCAAUGAUAAUGGUUCAAUCAGUCUUAUGAUUCUGCAUAUGUCAUGUAUAAGUCAGAUGGUAAUCCAUGCUCAAGAAUUUAAAAAAAAAAACGUCAAGUUAUGUCAUGCUUGGGUGUAGAAUGGCGAGCAUCUCCAUGGUUACAGUUCUGAGGAGGUUAAGGUAUGUCAAGUGUCUCUUUGAGUGCUCUAUCCUGGUAUAAACAGAAUUCUAUCUUUCUUGAAGCAAAUGCCGGUAAUGUUUUAUCAAUCAUGGGCCAAUAAUCUUAAUUAUCUUUAUGCAUGGAACCUCAAAGUGGGUACCGC